rnacentral:miRNA from 1 species
UUGGGCCUGACGUGGCG